rnacentral:rRNA from 1 species
AGUCGUAACAAGGUUUCCGUAGGUGAACCUGCGGAAGGAUCAUUAAAGAGUAAGGGUGCUCAGCGCCCGACCUCCAACCCUUUGUUGUUAAAACUACCUUGUUGCUUUGGCGGGACCGCUCGGUCUCGAGCCGCUGGGGAUUCGUCCCAGGCGAGCGCCCGCCAGAGUUAAACCAAACUCUUGUUAUUUAACCGGUCGUCUGAGUUAAAAUUUUGAAUAAAUCAAAACUUUCAACAACGGAUCUCUUGGUUCUCGCAUCGAUGAAGAACGCAGCGAAAUGCGAUAAGUAAUGUGAAUUGCAGAAUUCAGUGAAUCAUCGAAUCUUUGAACGCACAUUGCGCCCCUUGGUAUUCCGAGGGGCAUGCCUGUUCGAGCGUCAUUACACCACUCAAGCUAUGCUUGGUAUUGGGUGCCGUCCUUAGUUGGGCGCGCCUCAAAGACCUCGGCGAGGCCUCACCGGCUUUAGGCGUAGUAGAAUUUAUUCGAACGUCUGUCAAAGGAGAGGACUUCUGCCGACUGAAACCUUUUAUUUUUCUAGGUUGACCUCGGAUCAGGUAGGGAUACCCGCUGAACUUAAGCAUAUCAAUAAAAGUCG